AGAGUUUGAUCCUGGCUCAGAUUGAACGCUGGCGGCGUGCCUAACACAUGCAAGUCGAGCGGUAACAGGUGUAGCAAUACAUGCUGACGAGCGGCGAACGGGUGAGUAAUGCUUCGGAAUCUACCCUCUAGUGGGGAAUAACCAGCCGAAAGGUUGGCUAAUACCGCAUACGUCCUACGGGAGAAAGCAGGGGAUCGUAAGACCUUGCGCUGAUGGAUGAGCCGAAGUCGGAUUAGCUAGUUGGUGGGGUAACGGCUCACCAAGGCGACGAUCCGUAGCUGGUCUGAGAGGACGACCAGCCACACUGGAACUGAGACACGGUCCAGACUCCUACGGGGGGCAGCAGUGGGGAAUAUUGGACAAUGGGGGCAACCCUGAUCCAGCGACGCCGCGUGUGUGAAGAAGGCCUGCGGGUUGUAAAGCACUUUUAGUGGGGAUGAAAUGUGCAGGGUUAAUACCUCUGCAUUUUGACCUAACCCACAGAAAAAGCACCGGCUAACUCUGUGCCAGCAGCCGCGGUAAUACAGAGGGUGCAAGCGUUAAUCGGAAUUACUGGGCGUAAAGCGUGCGCAGACGGUUAUAUAAGUCGGGUGUGAAAGCCCCGGGCUCAACCUGGGAAUUGCAUUCGAGACUGUGUAGCUAGGGUACGGAAGAGGGAAGCGGAAUUUCAGGUGUAGCGGUGAAAUGCGUAGAUAUCUGAAGGAACACCAGUGGCGAAAGCGGCUUCCUGGUCCAGUACCGACGUUCAGGCACGAAAGCGUGGGGAGCAAACAGGAUUAGAUACCCUAGUAGUCC
rnacentral:rRNA from 1 species